UGACUGCGNUGCCACCCCAGAUAGAUAUAACAGUUUCUAGCAGGUUUAACGCUUUCAGUGACAUAAUGGUACGUUAAUGUUUAAAGGGUUUGAUAUAAAUUUUUUGAACUCUGGAAGGAAGUUUUUGUUACUUCUCUGCUCAAAACUGAGUAUUUGCUCCCCAUCUUAUGCAUAGUAAAAGCCAAAGACUCAUUAAUAGUUUCCAAGGCCCUACAGGAACUGGUUGUACCAUGUCCUACCCUCUGAUAAUCUGCCCUCACUUUUUGGCUCCAUCUCCCAUUGCUCUCUCCAUCCCUCCUUUGAUGUUUAACUGUUCACCUCAGGGCCUUUGCAUUUGCCAUUCCAUUUGCUUGAAAUACUUUUCACUCAGACACCCACAUGAGACUCUGUUACCUGCUUUGGACAAAUAUCUCAACGAGGCUUUCCCAGUUAUGGUUUUGAUUCUUUUAAAUGUUUUUAUACUUAAUUCUAGAUCUUUCCUGUCUUAGUCCAUUUGUGCAGCUACAAUAAGAUGCCUGAGUCUAGGUAAUUUAUAAGGAAGAGAAAUUUAUUACUUAACAGCUGUGGAUGCCCAGAAGUUCAAGAUCAAGGCCCUUGGCAGUGCUAUCUGUGUCAGGUGAAGACUGCCCUCU
rnacentral:lncRNA from 1 species